rnacentral:misc_RNA from 1 species
AUCAGACAACUGCAUUGGAUUGCGCGAACGCGGCGAGGAGACACGGGAUACACCGCCGGAGCCACACCACUCCGGCCACCACCCACCAAUACUAACGUAGAGACUACACAGACACCAACACACCGACGAAGUUGCCUCCAUUCAUAUUCCUGCCCCCCUACCCUCCCCGGAUUAGACAGCAACACACGAACUGAGACGAGACCCACAUCAGACAGACAAGAGCUGAAACAGGGGCAGAAUGUUAGCUUGCGCCAGCUCGCCGCGGCGGGUGAGAGCCCCUCGCGUCACACGAAUCCGACCUCGGCGAACUGCGGGCGCGCUGCCUUGGCCGACGCCGGCGCGCCGGGGCGCGGGCGCGGGGCCAUCCCCUCCGGGAGCGGGUUCUUGCGCGGCCGGCCGCGCGGGCGCGGGAUCUUGGGCGGCGCGUGCGGGUCACGCGGCUUGGGAGGGCGGCCGCGCCGUCGCGGCGCGGCGGCGGGGGACGCAGCGGCUCCGGGGACGCCGAUGGGGAAGCCAGCGGGCCGCGGCUUCGGGGGCCUCCCACGCCCGCGCUUGGCGGGCGGCUGCGGCACAGGCACGGGCACGAGCAGAGGCUCCGGCGCCUCCUCUUCCUCGUCCACCUCGUCGGCGCAGUCGUCGUCGUCGUCGUCGUCUUCGCCGUCGUCAGCCGGUGACUCCGGCGCCGGCUGCGCCGGCGGCGGGGGCAGCGCGUACUUCCCCCCCGCGACGGCGACGAGCUCCCCUGCGGCGGACAUGCGCGAGAGGUGGGCGGCGACGAGCGCCGGGUGCGAGGCCGGCAGGUCGCCGCGGGCCUGCGCCUCGAUGCGGCGCGCGAUGGCGGCCUGGCUGGAGCCGUUCUCCUCGGCGAGGGCUGCGAUCGCGGCGACGAUCAUCUGCAGCAGCCAGGGCAGGCGCACGGGUCAGUCGAUUCCGCAGAUCGGCGCAGAUCUGGCGGAAAGGAGUAGCGGAGAGGAGUCGAAAGAGGUAGGGUUGGAACGGAGGGAGGGAGGCUUGCCUCGGGGUAGGAAGGGGGCACGAGGUCGGAGGAGCCCGGGGGCGAGCCGUCGCCACUGGGAGUGGGAGUGGUCAUGCCUGCGCUGGCGCUGGCCGCCUCGGCUGCUGGCUGUCGCUUCCUCUCCCGCUCGGCGUGUCUGGGUGCGUGGGGAGCGGGAAUUGGGGGCGCAGCGCACGGGAGAGGGGGGAGGGGCCGCGACGACGCGGAUCUGAGACUGGGAAGGGCGCUGCCGCUGAGGCGGGCCUCAAUGGAAUGCAAGUACAGUUUCGACAAGGAAUCUGUCGGAUGUUCCGCGCGUGGUACCGGGUCCGGGGGUGACCGUGACCCGCGGGCGCUCUCGCUCGCGCUCCAACGGGUGGGUUCGGAUCGGCUCGGCUCACCGUUCGGCGCUGCUGCUGGCGCGGCGCCCGCUGACUGCUGUCGACCGUGGUUGUUGACACGUCCCCCCCGGCCCCGGCCGGCCAAACUAGGACACUGGAGCGCCGUGGAAAAAUGGUACGCAGUAGGAUGCAAUGCAAAGGAGAUAGGGGAUUCUAAUUUCUUCACUCGUGGAAACCGGUGGAGAAAUAAACGCUAGCAAAACACUCGACGGCAAACCGUAGGAAUGUCCGUUGACUCUAAUUUAUAAACGAGUGAAGAAGGCGUGAAGAAAGUGGUGGUGGCCCACGUGACUAUCUCGCAGUAGAGGACACGUAGGGCUCCUUUGGCAGCUAGGGAGGAUAACCCAGGGGAGUGAGCACCUAGGGGCCAUAAUCCCUGUUA